UCUUGGACCACGAGGCAGCAUGCUGAUGAUGGCAGAACAGACCGCCAUCCCAGCGCUCUGAACUUCUCUCACGUGAGUGACAGACAACUUCUGUCUUGGUCAGUGGCCAGAAGCGGCUGCACCUCCCACAGCACCCCUGCCUUCAGGAGUCCUGCUCCACCUUCGUGCCCAGGCAACCAUCCCUCCCACGUCCCGGGCUGGUCUCAGCAGCCACCUGCCUCUCUUCUUCUGGAACCAGGUUAGAGCCUUGCAAGUGGACGGCUCAGAACUAGCAGACAAGACUUUGGGUUCUAAGGCAGCUCGGCCACUCACUCACUCAUUCAUUCAGCAAACAGUUAUUGAGUAUCUACUAUUUCCCAGGUACUGUUCCAGGUACUGGGGCUACAGCAAUGAACAACAGAAGACCUUGCCCUCAUGGAACUUAUAGUCUACUCAAGAGAGAGACACACAAAGGCAGAAACGAGCAUGCAUCAGGUGAUAAGCGCUAUGGAGAAAAUACACUGAGUAAGGAGAGGAGGGCGUGUUAUGCGAGCAGCCCGGAAGCUCUCUCUGAGACGGUAGCUAACAGAAAUGAGGGAGUGAGGCACGUGGAUAUUUGGGGGAAAAGCUGUUUAUGUCACCUACUCCAAGUCCUCAGUGCUAUGCCUCAGUUUCCCCUCUCUGGAAUGGUUUGUGAGACAAAAGCCAUCCCAAGACAACCUCGUGCUAUCCUGGCUGAAGACUGUGGCUCCAGAGAGGAUGUUCAAAGCCAAGUCGGCAUGGGAAUCGGACUGGAUGGGGACAGAGGGUCCCCUUGGACAGCACUCCAUGAAUUUCAGAUAAGGGAACUGAGGCCCAUUUGUACAGCUCGCCAUGUGGUUCCACUAAAUGAAUAUCAAACCAAAAGUACGAAAAGGAGUCUCAUGGACUGUCAGGCCCCCUGGAUUUAAUGCUGCUUAUGCUGUAGGCUGUGUGACUCCCCUGUUAAUUAAAAGGUAAGCUCUCAGGGGACCUGGGUGGGGUAAUUCCUUUGUGGAGGAGACUCACUAUAAUCCUGUAUUGUUUACAAUCGCAUCAUGGUAUUCCAACGGCGUCGGGGGUUACACCAUCCUUGGUGACUGCAGCCCAGGCGGCCCCACCUUUGGAAGGGCAGAGAUGGAACAGUCCUUAUGGAGUCCCUAUAGGAGGGUAUGAAAUUCAGCGCAGCCAUUGAACACCACACCUGCACCCCUCAGCCUUUUCUGCCUCAAGGUAUGAAAAAUAAUAAUAAGGACGCCUGGAUGGCUCAGUCGAGUGUCCAACUCUUGAUUACGGCUUGGGUCGUGAUCUCAUGGUUCCUGAGUUCCAGGCUCUGAAUGGACAGUGCGGAGCCUGCUUGGGAUUCUCUCCUUCUCUCUUCGCCCCUCCCCCCUUCUCAUGCACUCUCUCAAAAUAAAUAAAUAAACUUUACUGCUACUACUAUAAUAAUCCCUUGUGCUUUACAUGUUUCAAAGUAUUUCCUUUUAUCCCUUUAUUAUAUAUGGCACUAGCAUUUUAGGGAUUGGGCACUGGGGGCUUGGAAAGGCCCAGAGACUUGCUGGGGAGGGGGGGGAUGGGAGUAUGGUCCUGUUCACCACACUUGUUUAACAUGUAUCAAGCUCCUACCACGUGCCUUGCCCUGUGCUAGGCUUGAGGAGGGCUUCCUGAAAGAGGCAGUUUCUGGGCAGUGCCCAGAUGCUGGGGAAGGCAAUCCCAGCCUUGAAGCCAGCAGCAAGCUGGGCUUCGAGCUUUCCCCUGGGUGGCUCUGGAGCAUUUCUUAGUGCACAACAGCCCCCAGCCUCUCCUCACAGCUCAGUCUCUAGGCUCUGGAGCACCAGAAAACUAGCCUAUUCCUCCUGACACAACCCAUCUCCCUUCUAGGUGGUGCUAAGAAGCUCGCUCCAAAAAGGUGCACGUCAAGACCCAUGCUGAAGUCUGGUUGCUCUUAGAGCAGGGCUCAGGAGUGGCCACACUCCAGCAUCUUCUCGGCCCUGCAGGUUGUACAAAUCCAAGGUGACGGUCACCCCCAGAGCUGUUCAGACCAGUCUUCACACCACAAAAUACCCUUUGGGGGCACAACACCUUUGCCCACUGACCGUGCCCUUUCCUUUUUACAGGCCAAGCUGGUGGAGCCUCAGGGCCACGGACCACAGAGUGGUCACACCUGUUUGCCCUCUGAGAACCAGCCCCCGACCACGAACGGUUCCAUGCAGUGCAGAGAACAGGCUGUACAGCCAUUCCCUCCCACUCUGCCCUAAGAGUUCAGCCCCAAAUGCCAGUGCCUGCCAGCAGCAAGGUCCCUUCCCUCUCUGGGCUGUCACCAAAGUCUUCCUGGCCCUACCUAGGGUAGGAGCGCCACCCCCACUCUUUCUCGCGGCAGACAUGUGCUCAGGCGGGCCACAAAGAAAUUCAUCUCUUUCCUGGGGCCGAGCCUCCAGCUGUUCUCAGGGGCCUUGGGACACUUUCUUGGAGGAGUCUGCAGCCACCCGUCUCCCGCAAAGGAUAACAUUUCACCUUGAGAAAAAAAUAGGAGGGCUGUUUCUAAGGUGCAUCCAAGCUUGUUCCAGGAGACAAGUUCCUGUUUAUAAAAGGGAGGGGGGUGUCUCACCUUCCUGGCCAUGGCCAAGAAGGGAGCAGUUCCUUUGGUGGCAAAGGAGACAGGGGUCCUACUCAGCUAGGCGACUCUGAGACUGUGGAAGGUCCACUUACUCCCCUUGUACCUGUCCCAACACAGGCUCAGGUGGGCUGAACUGCACACACUGCUCGAAAAAAAACCUCUCUGCAAACGCAGAAGACAUCAGCCGCCUGAGCUGUUACUGGAGGCUUGUCACCUGCUUCAGGGACUUCCGCGUGAGCUUCCAGCCUGCUGUUUUGCUGGAAUCAUCGACUACACAAUACCGUUGCUCAUCCCCUCCAAAACCGGAGAGAAAGAGUGACCAGACCUGGGGGGGGCGGGGGGAGAUCCCGCGAAAACGCUGAGCCUCGCCAUGCCCCAACUCCCC
rnacentral:lncRNA from 1 species